AGUCGUAACAAGGUUUCCGUAGGUGAACCUGCGGAAGGAUCAUUGUCGUGACCCUAAACCAAAACAAACCGUGAACAUGUCAUCCAUGCUGCCGGGCGAUGGGUCUUGCACCCAUCUCUUGGAACAGGGCGGCCACCUUCUUUGUAGAAGGUGGUGGUCCAAAAGAACCUACGGCGCCGCAUGGCGUCAAGGAAAACUAAUAUUGCUUUGCCGGUGGUCCAUUUGGCAUGCCGUAUGUACCCCGUGCAGUGAUGCAUUGUUAAGUCACAUGACUCUCGGCAACGGAUAUCUUGGCUCUC
rnacentral:misc_RNA from 1 species